rnacentral:rRNA from 1 species
UACGUAGGGCGCAAGCGUUGUCCGGAAUUAUUGGGCGUAAAGAGCGCGUAGGCGGCUUGUCACGUCGGGUGUGAAAGCCCGGGGCUUAACCCCGGGUCUGCAUUCGAUACGGGCUAGCUAGAGUGUGGUAGGGGAGAUCGGAAUUCCUGGUGUAGCGGUGAAAUGCGCAGAUAUCAGGAGGAACACCGGUGGCGAAGGCGGAUCUCUGGGCCAUUACUGACGCUGAGGAGCGAAAGCGUGGGGAGCGAACAGG